UACGUAGGGACCGAGCGUUGUCCGGAUUCAUUGGGCGUAAAGAGCUCGUAGGCGGCUGCUCAAGUCGAAUGUGAAAACUCGAGGCUCAACCUCGAGCCUGCAUUCGAUACUGGGCGGCUAGAGUCUGGUAGGGGGAUCUGGAAUUCCUGGUGUAGCGGUGGAAUGCGCAGAUAUCAGGAGGAACACCAAUGGCGAAAGCAGCUUUCUGGGACGGUACUGACGCUGAGACGCGAAAGCGUGGGGAGCGAACAGG
rnacentral:rRNA from 1 species